rnacentral:lncRNA from 1 species
GAAGGAUGGUCGUAGUGUGAACGUAGUCAGGUCGUAAGAAGAGCGUGACGAGGACGGCAAGGGCGUGCUGGAAUCGUACUAUGGUCGUGAACAGCGUGGUAUAGUCGUAGUGGAGGCAUAGUUGGGUCGCGGUGAAACCGUGAUGGACGUAGUGAGGUCGUGAUAACGGUCGCUGUGAGAUCGUAGCGCAGUCUCUUCAAAUAGAAUCACGCUCUCGCUACUACCCCAGUCCCACUAGGCCACGAUCGCACUACGAUCUGUGAAAAAAAUGCAAAUUUGAUGAUCGUAGUACAAUCGUGUAGAUCGCAGUAAGGUCGUAUCACGGUCGUGGUGAGGUCUUCAAGAUUGUGAUGAGCAUGGCCAACUUUGCACAUGUUCAAAACAAUCGUGGUGCGGUCGUGGCCAAAUCAGGUCGUAGUAGAAGCGUAGUGAGAGCGCACUAAGAUCGUAGUAAGAUCGCAAAGGUCGCUGUACAUGCACCAUCGGAGUGACAGCGUAGCGAAAGCGUGAUUCUAUUCGGAGAAACUGCGCUACGAUCUCAUUGCGACGUUAUUACGACCUCACUACAAUCAUCACGUUCUCACCGCGACCAAACUACGCUUCCACUACGAGUCGACUAUACCACGCUGUUCACGACCAUAGUACGAUUCUAGCGCGCCCUUGCCGUUCUCAUCACGCUCUUCUCACGACCUGACUACGUUCAUACUACGACCAUUAUUCUCAUUGUAAUUUUCCCAUAAAAUAUAUUAAUUCUCUCCAGGUUUUGUUUGUCUGUUACUUACAACUUACAACUCCCGUUAGCGCCAUGUGUCGCAUAGGGCGCGAAUGGAAGCCUUCCAUCUGAGUCUGUCUGCUGCUGCUUGUUCUUCUUCUCCCCAUGUUCUCCAUCCAAAUUCUGUUCUUUCCUUAUCUACCAUUCGUCUCCAAGUUUCUUUUGGUCUUCCUACAUUUCUCUUUCCUGGUGGUGUCCAUGUCAAGGCGAUUCUACAAUCAUUCCAUGGGUCCAUCCUCAGGAUGUGACCUAUCCAACUCCAUCUCCUGAUCUUAAUGGUGUUGGUUAUGCUGCACAUGUUGGCUUUUUGUAGCAGUUCUGCGUUGGAUAUCAUAGUUGGCUAAAAUAUCUUAAAGAUUCUACGCAAGUUCCUGGUGUUGAAGGUGUUAAGUCUAUCUCCAUCUCUCUUGAUUAUCUUCCAACAUUCUGCCCCAUAUAGCGACACUGAUAUUACAUUGCUUUUACAAAUUUUCAUUUUGGUGUUUCUACUGUAUUGGUUUGAUGUCCAUAUUUUUCUUAGCUUAUAGUAUGCUGCUUUUGCUUUUUUAUGCCCACCUACGAUAGUAGAGGGGCAUUAUGUUUUCUUGUCUGUGGCUCCGUUCGUUCGUCCGUCCGUCCGUCCGUCUGUGCGUCCGUUCAGGUUAAAGUUUUUGGUCACGGUAGUUUUUGAUGAAGCUGAAGUCCAAUCAACUUGAAACUUAGUACACUUGUUGCUUAUGAUAUGAUCUUUCUAAUUUUAAAGCCAAAUUUGACUUUUGACCCCAAUUUCACGGUCCACUGAACAUAGAAAAUGAAAGUUGGAGUUUCAGGUUAAAGUUUUUGGUCAAGGUAGUUUUUGAUGAAGCUGAAGUCCAAUCAACUUGAAACUUAAUACACUUGUUGCUUAUGAUAUGAUCUUUCUAAUUUUAAAGCCAAAUUAGACUUUUUCCCCCAAUUUCACGGUCCACUGAAUAUAGAAAAUGAAAGUGGGAAUUUUCAGGUUAAGUUUUUGGUCAAGGUAGUUUUUUGAUAAAUUGAAGUCCAAUCAACUUGAAACUUAGUACAUAUGUUCCUAUAGUACUAUAGUAUAAUCUUUCUUAUUUUAAUGCCAAAUUAGAUUAUUACCCAAUUUCACGGUCCAUGGAACAUGGAAAAGGAUAGUGCGAGUGGGGCAUCCGUGUACUUUGGACACAUUCUUGUUGAUUAUAUUCCUUAUGUCGGCUGUUGCAUUGUCGUUGGUAUCUAUGACCGAUCCUACUAGGUAUGUGAAGCUGUCUACUAUCUCUAUUUCUUCGUUGUUCAAUGUAAUAGGCUGGAUGUUGUUUGCCUUUACACACAUUAUUUUACUCUUUUUCUUGUUUAUUUCUAAGCCAGUUGUUUUAGCUAUCUUUGUCUGUAUCACUAUGUAAUUGGGACUUCUUGUCCAUUUUCUCUAACGUCUCAACCAUGCUUCUUGUUUUCAUAUAGAUUAGACCGUUGGUUUUCCUGUUUGAAUGGUUUUACACUAGUAGUAUUUUUUGGCGGGGCCUUUUAUAUCUUGCUGUUCGGUGUAAGCCGGUGUCUUUCUAUAUCUAUUGACACAUCUGUUUCAUAUCUGCUAUCGUUCAGCUUUAUGGACCAGCAAUAGGUUGUAAUGUAGGUCGGAUUGGUCGGUCCGACAUCUCUCAUUGAUCAAGAUUCGUUAUGAUCAGAGCUCCAUCUGCCUCUACACCAACCCUAACACCACGCCCACCUGUUCUAGUAGAUUUUGGUGGCUUCAUUGUAUUUUUUCGAGAAAUCUACGUAUUAAUUAGAAAUACAACUGAAGGAAUGAUACUGUAUUGAUAUGGAACACGAUGUUGACGUUAUUGCUGAGAGCGUAGUAAGAUCGCGGUUUGAACGUAGUGUAAUCGUGGCAAGAACGUGCUAUAAUCGCAGUAGAAGCGUGGUAAAGCCCCAGUCCCACUAGACCACGAUCGUACCACGCUCACCGCGAUCUAAAAUAAAUUUAGAUCGUGGUGAGGUCGCGGUAUGAGCGGCAUGAAAAUGUAAAUUUUCGUUGCUUUCACGAUGCUACUACGUCCUCUCUACGCUUCUACAAAGAUCCCGCUACGAUUAUACCACGUUCUCACCGCGCUUAUUCUGCGACCUCACUACGCUUAUCAAGAUCUUUCUACGCUCUUCACGUUCUCACUACGACCAUACCACGAGUUAUCCGAUUGCAACACGAUCUUACUGCGAUUAUUACACGUUCUUACUACGAUUAUACUACGUUCAUAGCGCGAUCUUACUACGUUCUCAGCAAUAACGUCAACAUCGUGUUCCAUAUCAAUACAGUUCAAUUCCUUCUAUUUCUGAUUAAAUCGUAGAUUUCUCGGAAACAAUACAGUCAUGCCACCAAAAUCUGCCAUAACACGUGGGCAUGGUGGUAGGAGUUGAUGUAGAGGCAGAGGGAGCAAAGUAACGAAUCCUGAUCAAGCAGAGAUGUCGGACCGACCAAUCCAACCUAAAUUACAACCUAUUGCUGGUCCAUGAAGCUCAAUGACGAUAUUUUAGUGAACGAUAGCAGAGAUGACAUAGAUGUAUCAAUAUAUAUAGGAAGAUGUGGUAUGUGUGCCAAUGAGACAACUCUCCAUCCAAGUAACAAUUUAUAAAAGAAAACCAUUAUAGGCCACGGUAAGGCCUUCAACACGGAGCCUUGGCUCACAUCAAUCAGAACGUUAUAAAGGACCCAAAAUAUUACUAGUGUUAAACCAUUUAAACGGGAAAACCAACGGUCUAAUCUAUAUAAAAACGAGAAGCAUGGUUGAACCGUUAGAGCAAAUGGAUAAUUACAUUCAAACAAACAAAAUCUAGGGAGCAUUUUUUAUAUUAAUUUUAUGUGAAAAUGACAAUGAGAAUGAUUGUCGUAGUGUGAACGUAGUCAGGUCGUAAGAAGAGCGUGAUGAGGACGGCAAGGGCGUGCUAGAAUCGUACUAUGGUCGUGAACAGCGUGGUAUAGUCGUAGUGGAAGCGUAGUUGGGUCGCAGUGAGAACGUGAUGGUCGUAGUGAGGUCUUUAUAACG